CUGAUGGUGGCGCAGUGGGUCAGUGUGUCUGACUGUUAACCAGAAGGUUGAUGUUUCAAACCCACCCAAUCCUGUGGACAGG